UACGUAGGUGGCAAGCGUUUGUCCGGAUUUACUGGGCGUAAAGAGCGCGCAGGCGGUCGUUCAAGUCGCGUGUGAAAGCCCCCGGCUCAACUGGGGAGGGUCACGCGAUACUGAUCGACUCGAAGGCAGGAGAGGGAAGUGGAAUUCCCGGUGUAGUGGUGAAAUGCGUAGAUAUCGGGAGGAACACCAGUGGCGAAGGCGACUUCCUGGCCUGUUCUUGACGCUGAGGCGCGAAAAGCUAGGGGAGCAAACAGGG
rnacentral:rRNA from 1 species